rnacentral:lncRNA from 1 species
AACAAUGUUACCCAAGAAAUGAUACAACUUUAGACAGCGAUGCGCUACGAUGCAAAUGAUAACAGCGGACACAUAGAGAACUUCCUCUGUGCCAAGCACUGUUCUAAACAUCUUAAUAAACAUAAACUCAUUUAAAUCCUCACGAAAGCCCUGUAAGGUUAUUUUCAGCCCCCCGUUGUAGAGGAGGAACCUGCCCCGGCAAAGCUCCGGGGACGGGCCGAUGGGCAAAGCGGCAGGCUGGAGUCUGAACCCCGGCCAUGCCCACUAUCCACGGGCUGCGCGCUCAGGAGGGAGGCAGGCGCCCCCGCGCAGAGAAGGGGCAGCAGACCCAGACGAGCCUGGGCCGGAACAGAGUCUGGGGUCCAGAUCAGAGCGGCGGGAAGGGUUGCGGCCAAGCGUGGGGCCGUCUGCGGGCGUACCAUCGAGGGCCCCCAAGCUAAAAAGGCCUCGGAAGCCCCAGGAGAGAAGCGCACGCGGAACGCCCUCCACCUCCCCAGGACCAGGAGCCGACCCCCACCGCUGCUCUCGGCCCCCACGAGACGAACCCCCGACGCGGCGCGGGGGGCUCCAGGGAACCGGGUGCCUGGAGGGGGGCUUCCGCAGAGCCCCAGAGCCGCGUCUUUCCGGGGAGGACCGACUCUCACUCCGAAACCCCUCCUGGAGCUGGCCGAACCUCCAGAAGUCCCGGGACCCCUGUCCCCCACGCCCCCACAGCGCCCGCUCCCCUCAUCGCCCCCCUCCCCUCCCAGGCGGGAAGCAAACACCGCGAGACCGCGAGAGGCGCGCGGCCUGGCGGCGCAGAAGAGCCCUCGGCUCUCACCUCCGAGCCAGGAAGGACGACCUCGCGUUAUCCGGGAGAAGCCGGGGGAAGCGUCCGGCUGGAAGCUGCUUCCGGUCCUCGGGGUGGGGUGGGGUGGGGGCGGGGCCUGGAACGGUUGCCAUGGAGACGAGGCGCCGCCGCCUCAGGUUUCCCGAGAGGCUGGCCCGAAGCUAGGGAAACUGGGGGUAACCGCGCUGUGAGGGGAAGCCGGCUGCUCGGCGUCCCGGUGCAAAUAAACCGGCAUUGUUAUUUCUCAGAGUACUUCUACUUACAUUAUUUCAUUUACGCUUAAAUGAUAAAUGAGUUAUUCUCAUUUUACAGAAAAUAAAUCCAAAAGUUGCGUGACUUGCCCAAAGGUCAC